rnacentral:lncRNA from 1 species
UCGUCUGAAGACACAUUGGUUUCCGGACAUUAACUUUAGUUUUAAUGAAUGGAUUUCUAUGAAAUUUAGUAAGAAGGUUCAAUACCCCCAAAGGAAGGUUGGGAUAAAUUUGGGGAUGAUGGUCCAUGGAACACUACACAUUAUCUUGAGGUGCUGCACACAUGUGCCAAAUAUCAAAAGAUUUUGUCACAGGGCAAACAAAUCAUGCUCCCUACACAAAAGUGUAAACAAAAAUCAUCUUUUUACUUUGAAGUCAAAGGUCAAAGUACAGCCAAAAAUUGUAUUGUAGGUAUCUGUGGCAUUGACUUAUGAUCUACAUGCCAAUUCAAUGAAAAUAUUCUUGCAUUUUCCAACUAAGUACUUUCAUGGUGAAAAUUUGUACAAAAAAG